rnacentral:rRNA from 1 species
UACGUAGGGUGCAAGCGUUGUCCGGAAUUAUUGGGCGUAAAGAGCUCGUAGGCGGUUCGUCGCGUCGGCUGUGAAAUCCCGAGGCUCAACCUCGGGUCUGCAGUCGAUACGGGCGGACUGGAGUUCGGCAGGGGAGACUGGAAUUCCUGGUGUAGCGGUGAAAUGCGCAGAUAUCAGGAGGAACACCGGUGGCGAAGGCGGGUCUCUGGGCCGAAUACUGACGCUGGAGGCACGAAAGCGUGGGGAGCAAACAGG